rnacentral:misc_RNA from 1 species
ACAUCAAUAUUCCUCUUUUUCUUUAUAUAGAUGAUAUGUGGACAUGCCUACCUUUUAGUUUUCAUUAUAAAAGCAGAUAACAUACAGGUGGUACAAUGGACUGGAGGGUUUUCGUGUUUAUGGGGUUUGCUUGUAUUAUUGCAAGUGUGUGUUCAUUUAUUGUUUUAGCAAUAGUAUGCACUAUGUACUUAUUUCUGAAUCUAUACUUUUUCCUCUCUUAAUGUAAUUG